AUGCAAACAGCACCUACCUCCCCAGAUGCCUUCACCUCCUAUUGAUGAGACAAGCCCUUAGAAGGAAGAUUCAAACCCACAGAAAGAGAAAUGCUAGUGUCGAGAGGAAUGGAGGCUUCUGACUCAAGCCAAUGACCUCGGGGAUGUUUCCAACACUC
ensembl:misc_RNA